AACAAGUUCUUGGAAAAAAAGUUAUCUCAAAGAUGGCCCUAUGCGAAGAAAAGAUAUGAAAGUCUUACGGA